rnacentral:rRNA from 1 species
GACGAACGCUGGCGGCGUGCUUAACACAUGCAAGUCGAGCGGAAAGGCCCUUCGGGGUACUCGAGCGGCGAACGGGUGAGUAACACGUGAGUAACCUGCCCCAGACUUUGGGAUAACCCUCGGAAACGGGGGCUAAUACCGGAUACGACACAGCUUCGCAUGGGGUCUGUGUGGAAAGUUUUUCGGUUUGGGAUGGGCUCGCGGCCUAUCAGCUUGUUGGUGGGGUGAUGGCCUACCAAGGCGACGACGGGUAGCCGGCCUGAGAGGGCGACCGGCCACACUGGGACUGAGACACGGCCCUGACUCCUACGGGAGGCAGCAGUGGGGAAUAUUGCACAAUGGGCGGAAGCCUGAUGCAGCGACGCCGCGUGAGGGAUGACGGCCUUCGGGUUGUAAACCUCUUUCAGCAGGGACGAAGCGUAAGUGACGGUACCUGCAGAAGAAGCGCCGGCCAACUACGUG